GACAGAGGGGGCAAGCGUUGUCCGGACUGACUGGGCGUAAAGCGCGCGCAGGCGGUCUCGGGCGUCGGUGCUGAAAGUCCACCGCUUAACGGUGGGAUGCGUGCCGAUACGCCGAGACUGGAGGGUGGGCGAGGGUGGUGGAAUUGCCGGUGUAGUGGUGAAAUGCGUAGAGAUCGGCAGGAACACCCGUGGUGAAAACGGCCACCUAGCCCAUUCCUGACGCUGAGGCGCGACAGCGUUGGGAGCGAACGGG
rnacentral:rRNA from 1 species